UGUUUAUAUCCCUUCUCAACAUUACUGCACAUGCACUUUUGGUAGCCACCUGUGGUAAUUCCGCAAGCUGAAAUCGGCUGCUACAUAGUACCUAGCCUAAAGACAUGGUUUGAGGAUUUUCCUAGUGUUCAGACCAACAUAUCCACCGGGAGGAGGAAGGAGAGGAGGGGAAAGUAGCUGUUUUGUCCAAACUAAUAUUUAAUGCAAUUUUUCCUUGGGCUUUCUUUGUCUCUAAUUCCACGUCUAGUAGAUGACAAAUGAUGGGCAGUGAUUAUUUCAUCUGGAUAAUCCAUGGAUAAGCAUUUAGCUUGUGGAACUUUAUGCACUGAAGAAAAUAAAUUAAUCAAGAUGCUCUGAAAUCAGUUCUUCCACUGAAGAUUCCAGCUUCCGCUCCCCAUCAAUAAUCCAAGGAGUCUGAGAUGAAUUCUGAUAAAACCAUCCAACAAAGCAAUCUAAAAUAGAACAGCGUGUUUGGAAAAGGCUAAAAGACACUGGAUAUCUUGGAUUCAUGAAAAUGUAUAUCUAACUGUCUAAUCAGUAAUUAAAAAUAAGAAACAGAGAAAGUUGAGGAUACAUGUUUGUCUUAAAUCAAAGGCACAACAGAACUGGAAGACAAACCCAAAAAGACCACUGACUCAGGGAAAAGCUUC